rnacentral:lncRNA from 1 species
GUGAAUAUUUAAGCUGAGGAUUGGGCAGGCAUAUAAUAAUUUCAGAAAGAUGCUCUUGGUUGGCUCCAUAAUAGGCAUCUUACUUUUCCAAUUGCCAAUCUUACAACCCCUGACCCUGCUCUUAAAUAACGAUUCUCUAAGCCUUGAAAACGUUCAGAUUGGAAACUCACUCCCCCUACUUCCAAAUAGUUAUUUCCAAAGAGAAUCUUCACUCUCCACAAAAAGCAAAUAAAGCCACCCUAAGCAGAGGCAAAUAUUAGAGCACGGUUAGUAAAUACCUAGCAUACAACUCAGCAUUCUCCAAUCCCAUGUCUGUAACAGACAUUUCUAAUCAAUCACGGCAGUAUUUCCCAUGGAAUACAGACUUGCUUUCUCCACAAGGUUCUCUAGGCAGCCACUGCUAAUCAAGUGGAGUUCCACUUGAAACCUGUUGCUGUCCCACAAGGAGCAGGAGAAUUUUGGGGUUCCAAUCAGGCAUUACCGUUCAAAAGCCUUGUCCUCCAGGUCUCGCUGCUUCUUCAUCGCAGCACUCCUUUCCCAGUCCUCCUGUAAGCAUUGGUUGACUCUAUUUACUCGCUCCAGCUCAGCGGUUCUGUCUGCCAAGUGCCUGGAGAGAAAAGAACAGCCUGGCUCCAUAAUACUUGGAAGAGCAUGCACCAAAUUUGGGAGCCCCAUUCCUUUUAUGUUAAACAAAAAAAACCUUCUGGUUUUGUUCACUACUCUGAAAUAUACUAAAAAGCAUGAACACUGUAAAAGCAUACUGAAAUUCCUAGCUCUCAAAUAAUUUAUGGAUCAAAGGUCUUUUAUCUUCAAUCCUGGUUUGAUUUAAUAGGAUUGAAACCUUUUUCCAGUUAACAACUUCAACCUGUAAAACCAUUAAUUUCCUUUGAGGCUAAUUUAACUUAUCUGAAGAAUCAUCCCAAAUGGAUUUCCUAUACUCUGUUUCUUUCCUUUUAGUCCAGCCUCUCAGCUGCCAGUACUCAGCCUACCAGUCACUGCAGACAUAUUACAAGGCAAAAUAGAUAGGUAUACAAAUGAAAGUCUACAAAAAGAGAAAAUAAACACAAGUGACUAAGCAAGGGAAAAGAAAAUAGAGAAAACAUUAACAUUGUGAAGAAGGCAAGAAAAUAAAACAGGAAUGUUUGGUGAAGGCCAUGUCAUCGAAGAAGUGACUGCAGUAUAAUCUCUGUCUUCAAAGGGAGAUAUUCCCAGUGUUGUGUUUCUAUCACUGGUCUCCAAACACUCCAUCACUACUGUUGUGAAUCACCUUAAGCCUGGUUCUGAUUAUGUGUCUAUUUCUUGCUAAACUGAAACCUUUGCUGUCAGUUCUCACUGAAAUCUAGAAGGA